CGGGACGCCCCGAGAGGAGGAGGGACCUGCUGGGGAGGCAGCGGUCUCGCAGCCCCAGGCCCCAACGAGUGUGCCUGGGGCUCGCCUCUCGAGAUUGCCUCUGGCGCGAGUGAAGGCCUUGGUGAAGGCAGAUCCCGACGUGACGCUAGCGGGACAGGAAGCCAUCUUCAUUCUGGCACGAGCCGCGGAACUGUUUGUGGAGACCAUUGCAAAAGAUGCCUACUGUUGCGCUCAGCAGGGAAAAAGGAAAACCCUUCAGAGGAGAGACUUGGAUAAUGCAAUAGAAGCUGUGGAUGAAUUUGCUUUUCUGGAAGUGCUGAAAUUGCCUGAAGAUGUGAUGCAUUUCUCAGGAUGUAUCCUUGUUGUUGAGCGACACAUGUAUUUUGAUUGAAUAGCUUAGCAAAAGCCAUGUAUCCUUAUUCUCCCAGGGUGUUCUCAUUACCUCCUUCAAGCCUUAUUACCUUUAGAAAUAUCUUGAUUUAUUCCACUCUUUUUUACUCCUUUGUUCUGCAUCUCCCUGUCAACCUAGGCCCCUGGUCCUUUUGAUAGAUAUUUUUUAAAUGUCUUAUUAGAUAGAUAGACUACCAUGGCCAGCUCUAUGUCUAGACUAUUGAGCAUUCUUUUAAUUUGCAGAUUUUUCUUCAGCCUCUCUUUCCACCUACUCAUUUUUCUUAAAAUUAACUUUUGUUAGUCGUACCUAAGGCAGGCACUCCUUGUGACAGACUUUAAGUUCUGCAGUCAAAAAUGUUUGGAGCC
rnacentral:sRNA from 1 species